AAAAUUAACAUAAAAUAUAUUAUUCAUUUCAGGGGUACAGGUCUGUGAUUCAUCAGUCCUAUACAAUUCACAGUGCUCCCCAUAGCGCACACCCUCCCCAGUGUCCAUCACCCGGCCACCCCAUCCCUCCCACCUCCCUCCCCUCCAGCAACCCUCAGAAAAAGACAAUUAUCAUAUGAUCUCCCUGAUAUGAGGAAGUUUAGAAGCAAUAUGGGGGAUUUGGGGGCUAAGAAAAGAACAAAUGAAACAAGAUGGGAUCGGGAGGGAGACAAACCAUAAGAGAUUCUUAAUCUCACAAAA